UCCGCCUGCGGAGCACAGUGACUCGAAAGGAGAGAAAUGAAAUAUAUGCGGUGGAACAUAUUAUAAUAAUACAGACUCAGAUGAAAUGAAUACCCCGGCAUUAAAUGGAAAUGAGGGAACACAGAACAGACAAGAAUCAUCCGAUGUAAGUCUUAUACUCCGGGGGACAUCCAAAAAAGCCAUCUUCUAUAUCAGAAGCAAUGACUGCGUUCAGAAAACACAACGAUUACACAACAGUUGAGUAAUUCGUCAACGUUAUUGGUCUGAAUGUAAGGAUCUAACAGUAAGGGCCAAUAGUUACUAAGCGCUCAGUGAGCGUUUUGUUUUCUGAACGCAACCAAUGAUAUUAGAUAUCAGAAGCAACUGUUAUAGCGAAUUUUGAAUUUUUGGGGCAUACAGACAUGGACAUGAAAGAGGAAGAAGCAGAUAGAGAGGAUGAAAUUUAUGAUGCAAAUACGGAUACUAAACCAAAUAAAACAUAAAUAAUAAAUC